rnacentral:rRNA from 1 species
UACGUAGGGUGCGAGCGUUGUCCGGAAUUACUGGGCGUAAAGAGUGCGUAGGCGGUUCGUUAAGUCAGCUGUGAAAGCCCCGGGCUCAACCUGGGAACUGCGGUUGAAACUGGCGAACUAGAAUCUGGCAGAGGGGGGUGGAAUUCCACGUGUAGCAGGUGAAAUGCGUAGAGAUGUGGAGGAACACCGAUGGCGAAGGCAGCCCCCCUGGGCUGAGAUUGACGCUCAGGCACGAAAGCGUGGGGAGCAAACAGG